ACCUUUUGAGUUUGUUCUUGUGGGUUUCGAGGAGUUUAAAAGCCUUCGGAUUUGCUAGGAUUGGGCUCUUUUGGUGUACUUUCUCGUACGGUUAGUCAACAUCGGUUUUGAAUGUCAUAAAAUGACUGGAGGAAUGUGGCUUCGAUCUCGCAUCGAAGUGUUAUAACCUUUGGUAGAUGUGAUGUUCGAGACCGAGGAUUGCAACGGAUACCCUUCUGGGCUAUUCGUCUGAUCUCUGAUACGUUGCCUUGAUGUCGAAAGCGUGCUUAUGAUGUUAGGGUAUUACGGUCAAAAGGUUAGAACGGAUUAAAUUCGUUAAGGAUGUUGACGUAAUGACUUU
rnacentral:rRNA from 1 species